rnacentral:rRNA from 1 species
AACGUAGGACGCAAGCGUUAUCCGGAGUUACUGGGCGUAAAGGGGCAGGCAGGCGGGUCGAUAAGUCGGAUGUGAAAUCUCCCUGGCUUAACCGGGAGAGUGCAUUUGAGACUGUCAACCUGGAGGGCAGCAGAGGAGCGUGGAAUUCCGGGUGGAGUGGUGAAAUGCGUAGAGAUCCGGAGGAACACCAGAGGCGAAAGCGGCGCUCUGGGCUGCGAC